GUGGUGUUGCCAUGGAUGCGC
rnacentral:siRNA from 1 species